AAGACUCUCCAGCCGUUCAGCCAAUCAGCAGCCGGGGGAGUGUCAGGGGCGGGCUUACCGUGUUGCGCUAUGGAAAAUCAUUACGGGGAUACACUUGGAUGAAUGUGCGCUCUCUGAGAUUGAAUACAACGACAACAAGGCUGAGACGAGAAUCUGCUGGUGCUGGACUGAUGGGAGGACCGGGUCUGAGCGGAACCGGCCGGGGGAAUGGAUGAGACUUCUUCAGCGUGUGAGGAGGAACAUGCUCGGGAUAAACACGAUCUGGUUUUCCAUCCUGUGCAGCCCCUCUUGGACCAGAAGCAGGACUGGAGGCCCGGAAGCAGAACCAGGAGACGACACAGUAUCCUAUGGUGGAUUUCAAAGAAGUCCACAGGGAGCUGCAGAGCAGAAGAAGAUGCAGCAUGUUUUUUCUUCUUCUGAAGGCAUCCUCCCCAGGGAACUGGUUUCAGAUGGUGUCUUAGAGAAUAAAAUCCCAUCUAGCACCAUUUGAAAUCGGUGUCCUUGAGCAGGAACAGACUUCAAGAGUGAUGACAGCGACGACCUCAUUCUCUCAGCGCUAAGGAUUACAGCUUGAAGGAAGUGUUAGCAUGCACGUUUUUUACAAACUGUCCCAGAUUUAUGACAAAUUAAAAUUCGAUGAGGCGUUCAUUGAUGAUGGAAAACGACGUGUUCAUUCUUUCUCUGGUUCAUUCCUCU